rnacentral:rRNA from 1 species
UGGGGAAUAUUGCGCAUGGGCGAAGCCUGACGCAGCGACGCCGCGUGGAGGAUGAAGGUCUUAGGAUUGUAAACUUCUGUUAGUGGGAAGAAAAGUCUGCGCUUAAUACGCGCUAGAAAUGACGGUACCAUUAGAGAAAGCACCGGCUAACUUCGUGC